rnacentral:rRNA from 1 species
CCUACGGGAGGCAGCAGUGAGGAAUAUUGGUCAAUGGGCGCGAGCCUGAACCAGCCAAGUCGCGUGAGGGAUGACUGCCCUACGGGUUGUAAACUUCUUUUAUAAGGGAAUAAAAUGAGGCACGUGUGCCUUUUUGUAUGUACUUUAUGAAUAAGGAUCGGCUAACUCCGUGCCAGCAGCCGCGGUAAUACGGAGGAUCCGAGCGUUAUCCGGAUUUAUUGGGUUUAAAGGGUGCGUAGGCGGCAUGCUAAGUCUGGGGUGAAAGGGACCGGCUCAACCGGUUCAGGCGGUGGAAACUGGCGGGCUAGAGAGAAGGAGAGGGAGGUGGAACGCCAUGUGUAGCGGUAAAAUGCGUAGAUAUAUGGAAGAACACCAGUGGCGAAGGCGGCCGCCUGGCGUGUUACUGACGCUGAUGCACGAAAGUGCGGGGAGCAAAUAGGAUUAGAUACCCUUGUAGUC